CCCCGGCGCCACAAGUGGUUAUCACGAUUAUUGGGCCUAAGGCGUUCGUAGCCGGUCUGGUAAAUCUCUUGUGAAAUUGUUCGGCUUAACCGGACAGCGUGCAGGAGACACUGCCAGACUCGAGACCGGGAGGGGUUAGAAGUAUUCCAUGGGGACUGGUAAAAUGGGAUAAUCCAUGGAAGACUACCGAUGGCGAAGGCAUCUAACCAGAACGGAUCUGACGGUGAGGAACGAAAGCCAGGGGAGCGAACCGG
rnacentral:rRNA from 1 species